ACGGAAGGCAGCAGUGGGGAAUAUUGCACAAUGGGCGCAAGCCUGAUGCAGCGACGCCGCGUGAGUGAUGAAGUAUUUCGGUAUGUAAAACUCUAUCAGCAGGGAAGAUAAUGACGGUACCUGACUAAGAAGCACCGGCUAAAUACGUGCCAGCAGCCGCGGUAAUACGUAUGGUGCAAGCGUUAUCCGGAUUUACUGGGUGUAAAGGGAGCGUAGGCGGUUUAUUAAGUCUGAUGUGAAAGCCCGGGGCUCAACUCCGGUAUUGCAUUGGAAACUGGUAAACUUGAGUGUCGGAGGGGUAAGUGGAAUUCCUAGUGUAGCGGUGAAAUGCGUAGAUAUUAGGAGGAACACCAGUGGCGAAGGCGGCUUACUGGACGAUUACUGACGCUGAGGCUCGAAAGCGUGGGGAGCAAACAGGAUUAGAUACCCUGGUA
rnacentral:rRNA from 1 species